ACCACCCACAGAGCCACCAACAGAACCACCCACAGAGCCACCAACAGAACCACCCACAGAGCCACCAACAGGUGAAACCAUUUUAAUUCAGUUUUACUUUGCAAGGUGUAGGACAUUUUUUUUUUGGAACAAUGUAUAUGAGUAUUCUAGUU